ensembl:misc_RNA Metazoa_SRP Metazoan signal recognition particle RNA
GCUGGGCAUGGUGGUGCGUGCCUGUAAUCCCAGCUACUUGGGAGGCCGAGGUACAAGAAUCACUUGAACCCAGGAGGCACAGGUUGCAGUGAGCCUAGAUCGUGCCACCACACUGCAGCCUGGGUGACAGAGUGAGACUGUGUCUCAA